CAGUAGCCACGGGAAUACGGAGGGUGCAAGCGUUAAUCGGAAUUACUGGGCGUAAAGCGCACGCAGGCGGUCUGACAAGUCAGAUGUGAAAUCCCCGGGCUUAACCUGGGAACUGCAUUUGAAACUGUCAGGCUGGAGUCUUGUAGAGGGGGGUAGAAUUCCAGGUGUAGCGGUGAAAUGCGUAGAGAUCUGGAGGAAUACCGAUGGCGAAGGCAGCCAUCUGGCCUAAUACUGACGCUGAGGUACGAAAGCAUGGGGAGCAAACAGGAUUAGAUACCCCGGUAGUCCCUGUCUCUUAUAC
rnacentral:rRNA from 1 species